rnacentral:rRNA from 1 species
CUUGGUCAUUUAGAGGAAGUAAAAGUCGUAACAAGGUUUCCGUAGGUGAACCUGCGGAAGGAUCAUUAAAGAAAUGCUCGAGGAUGCUGCUGGCCUAUUGCGGGCAUGUGCACUCCUUGAAAACCCCUUUUAUCACCUUCUCACAUUGUGCACUAUUUGUAGGUCCUUGGGGGAGAUGGAAGUUGCUUCCACCUUACCUCGGGCUUAUGUUUAAUUUUUAUCCUUUGAUAAACCCCUUCGAAUGCCAUGUCCAAUUAUUAAAUUGAUAAUAAACACAACUUUCAACAAUGGAUCUCUUGGCUCUCGCAUCGAUGAAGAACGCAGCGAAAUGCGAUACGUAAUGUGAAUUGCAGAAUUCCGUGAAUCAUCGAAUCUUUGAACGCACCUUGCGCCUCUUGGUAUUCCGAGGGGCAUGCCUGUUUGAGUGUCUUUUGAAUAUCUCAAACUUGACCUUGUGGAACUUUCCCGAGGAUUAAGUUUGGAUUUUGGCGGUUGCCGAUUUUCAUCAUUUGUUUUGAGAAAGUUGGCUCCUCUAAAAAGCAUUAGCGGACAAGGAGAAAUCCAAUUCUUCUUUGGUUGCUGGUAUUGAUAAUCUAAUCUGUCUAUGCCUGUAAAGACCCUUGAGGAGGAUUGUCUCUAUUUUGUUUGCUCAUAAAAAUAAAGGUCACCUUUUACGUGGUGAUUUUUUCUUGACAAAUUACCUCAAAUCAGGUAGGACUACCCGCUGAACUUAAGCAUAUCAAUAAGCGGAGGAAAAGAAACUAACAAGGAUUCCCCUAGUAACUGCGAGUGAAGCGGGAAAAGCUCAAAUUUAAAAUCUGGCAGUCUUUGUUGCUGCUCGAGUUGUAAUCUAGAGAAGUGCCUUCCGCGCUGGACCGUGUACAAGUCUCUUGGAAUGGAGCGUCGUAGAGGGUGACAAUCCCGUCUUUGACACGGACUACCAGGGCUUAUGUGAUGCGCUCUCGAAGAGUCGAGUUGUUUGGGAAUGCAGCUCAAAAUGGGUGGUAAAUUCCAUCUAAAGCUAAAUAUUGGCGAGAGACCGAUAGCGAACAAGUACCGUGAGGGAAAGAUGAAAAGAACUUUGAAAAGAGAGUUAAACAGUACGUGAAAUUGUUGAAAGGGAAACGAUUCAAGUCAGUCGCGUUGGCCGGUAAUCAACCCUUGCGAUUUAUUGCAAAGGCUUACUUUCUGGUUAACGGGUCAGCAUCAAUUUCGACCGUCAGAGAAAGGCUCGAUGAAUGUGGCAUCUUUGGAUGUGUUAUAGCUUCGAGUCGCAUGUGACGGUCGGGAUUGAGGAACUCGGCACGCCGAAAGGCCUGGGGCAUCCUUGCCCACGUAAACGUGCUUCGGAUGCUGGCGUAAUGGCUUGAACCGACCCGUCUUGAAACACGGACC